GGGAGCCGGAGGUGGGCUUCCUCACGUGGCUCGCGUGUGAAAACAGUGACACCUGCCCGUUCCUCCCUCCUCUGGUACCACAGCGUCUCUUCUGGGGACGUCCUGACUCUGCUCCGGGGUGCUAGUGCACCCCUGCCAGUGGCCCAGCCCCAGGUUUCUGCCCCGUGAGUGGUCGGGGUGGCAGUGAGAACAGAGGGAAGAAGGCCCAGCCUGGCUGCUCUGCUCCUGCCGCUUGGCGACUCCUGGCCUUGCCUGUCUGGGAACCUGGCAUGACCUGGUCCCUGGCACCUCGCGUGGACCUGCACUGUGGCCCUGCUGUGCACCAGGCUUCCGUCUGCUGAGGGCUGCUCCUGGUAACCAAAGAAAUGCAAGUGAAAUAACAAGGCCCUCACAUCUGGCCCAUGCUGGUGGGAAUCCUGCCUGGCACCCCCUUCUAGGAAGCCGUCUCCCGGUGUCCUUGAGAGGUGGCCAGCUUUGGACCUGUUCAUUCUACUCCCGAGAAGCCAUCCAGGAGAAAACGUAAGUGGAUGAGAGUGAUGCUCCAACU